GACGAACGCUGGCGGCGUGCCUAACACAUGCAAGUCGAACGGAGUUGCCCUUCGGGACAACUUAGUGGCGAACGGGUGAGUAACGCGUGAGAAACCUGCCUUUCAGUGGGGGACAACAGUUGGAAACGACUGCUAAUACCGCAUAAUGUAACGGAACCGCAUGAUUUGUUACCAAAGAUUUAUCGCUGAAAGAUGGGCUCGCGUACGAUUAGAUAGUUGGUGAGGUAACGGCUCACCAAGUCGACGAUCGUUAGCCGGACUGAGAGGUUGAACGGCCACAUUGGGACUGAGACACGGUCCAGACUCCUACGGGAGGCAGCAGUGAGGAAUAUUGGGCCAAUGGGCGCAAGCCUGACCCAGCAAUGCCGCGUGAAGGAAGACGGUUUUCGGAUUGUAAACUUCUUUUAAGAGGGACGAUAAUGACGGUACCUCUUGAAUAAGCCACGGCUAACUACGUGCCAGCAGCCGUCGGU
rnacentral:rRNA from 1 species